GACGAACGCUGGUGGCGUGCUUAACACAUGCAAGUCGAACGAAGAGCGAUGGAAGCUUGCUUCUAUCAAUCUUAGUGGCGAACGGGUGAGUAACGCGUAAUCAACCUGCCCUUCAGAGGGGGACAACAGUUGGAAACGACUGCUAAUACCGCAUACGAUCUAAUCUCGGCAUCGAGGAUAGAUGAAAGGUGGCCUCUACAUGUAAGCUAUCACUGAAGGAGGGGAUUGCGUCUGAUUAGCUAGUUGGAGGGGUAACGGCCCACCAAGGCGAUGAUCAGUAGCCGGUCUGAGAGGAUGAACGGCCACAUUGGGACUGAGACACGGCCCAGACUCCUACGGGAGGCAGCAGUGGGGAAUCUUCCGCAAUGGACGAAAGUCUGACGGAGCAACGCCGCGUGAGUGAUGACGGCCUUCGGGUUGUAAAGCUCUGUUAAUCGGGACGAAAGGCCUUCUUGCGAAUAGUGAGAAGGAUUGACGGUACCGGAAUAGAAAGCCACGGCUAACUACGUG
rnacentral:rRNA from 1 species